CCCCUAGUGUUACCAAGCCAUCCUACUACUGAGCAAAGAAUAGCAUAUAAAAAAUGGACGGAUGAAGACAGUUGGGUUAAGUGUUAUGUAUUGGCUUCCAUGAUAAAUGAGUUGCAAAGCCAGCAUGAGUAUAUGGCCACUGUAAGGGCUAUGAUCAUUCACCUAUAAAAGUUGUAUGGUGAGUAGAGCCGCACAGCGUACUCGAAGUAUCCAAGAGACUCUUCAAUCUAAAGAUGCAUGAAGGGCAGCUAGUCUAUGAGC
rnacentral:lncRNA from 1 species